GACGGAGGGUGCUAGCGUUGUUCGGAAUGACUGGGCGUAAAGGGCGCGUAGGCGGCUCGUGAAGUCGGGUGUGAAAACCCGGGGCUCAACCCCGGGCCUGCAUCCGAUACUGGCGGACUCGAGGCAGACAGGGGAGAGUGGAAUUCCCGGUGUAGCGGUGAAAUGCGCAGAUAUCGGGAGGAACACCGGUGGCGAAGGCGGCUCUCUGGGUCUGUCCUGACGCUCAGGCGCGAAAGCUAGGGGAGCAAACAGG
rnacentral:rRNA from 1 species